rnacentral:rRNA from 1 species
CAGCAGCCGCGGGAAAACGUAGGGUGCAAGCGUUAAUCGGAGUUACUGGGCGUAAAGCGUGCGCAGGCGGUCCUAUAAGACAGAUGUGAAAUCCCCGGGCUCAACCUGGGAACUGCAUUUGUGACUGUAGAGCUGGAGUGCGGCGGAGGGGGAUGGAAUUCCGCGUGUAGCAGUGAAAUGCGUAGAUAUGCGGAGGAACACCGAUGGUGAAGGCAAUCCCCUGGGCCUGCACUGACGCUCAUGCACGAAAGCGUGGGGAGCAAACAGGAUUAGAUACCCGUGUAGUCCCUGUCUCUUAUAC